AAUAUUAUAGAAAAAAAUGUGUGUGCAUAAAAAAGUUUGGAGGAAGAUAAACAACUAAAACAUCAGCAGGUAUACCUGCCUAACAGAAGUAAAGCACCUUUAUUCCUUUCUUCUUUUUCUAUAGUUUUAAAUUUCUUACAGAUAUAGAAAAAAUAUAUAUAGUUUUAAAAAUCCAUAACAAGUAUCAAUAGCCAUAAAGUAUAACUUCUUUUAGACCCCAAGUCCAAACUGUACGAUGAAUACACCAAAAUUCCAAUAACAUUUUGUAUAAAAGUCAGUUAGCCAGUUAUUGGGUAGGCAGCUAGCUACCAGCCCACAAGUUUAGUAAGCAGAUGAAAUUUGAGAAGAAAAGCAAACGCCCUAUCAGAAGGUGAACAAGCAGUUUUUUUCUGCAAGGUGGGCCUCGUCCCUGUCCCUGUCCCCGGGUGGCCGCUUCCUGGCUUUCAUUUCAGCUUUCCCACUUGCAGUGAGAGAGAUACGUAAGUGUUGACCUAGAAGAAUCAGGCCAAGGCACAAAAUAGAACUUAAAAGAGUUGACUUGAGCCAAAGUGAGGGCAGCUCUCAGAAGACUCAGCCAAGGUUAUGUGGCUCUGUGAGCUCCACUAGGCCUUCGUUACUAACAGGUUUUUAAAUGCAAAAAAAAAAUGAGAGACAGAAAGUCCCCAGAUACAACACGGUUUGCCAGGAAUUCUCAUUUGAUUAGGGAUUGGCUAUACAUUGUUAAGCUAUAGGGUGUGGGUUAUGGUGUUGGAAGCAGCAUUGUUAGGUAAAUUUAUAGCUACUGGUGGCAAGGGCAAACAGUUUCUUUCAAGAGCAGAUACAUAUCUCAAGGAGGGGAAGUAUAAUAGAAAAUGACCACUCAUUUUAAUGUCUCUGCAGGUGACUUGAAUUCCUCAGAUGAAUUAGUUUAGUUUUGUGUGGUUUUUUUUUGUUUUUUAUUUUUUAUUUUUUUGGUCUCACAAGGAAAUCACUUUAAAGCCCUCAGACUUUAAAAGCCCUCAAACUGCAGAAGGUAAGUAAAUACAGGGUGGCCAUCAUGGUCCACAUCUGCUCCUCUUUUAAAAACAUAAAAUACUAGACUACUCCUCCGAUGGGAGUAGCUAAAAGCAGUACAUCAGCCUCACCUGGAGCACUUGUUGAAUGCCCCCCACCUGCCAACCACACACACAUACACACCUAGAGUUUCUAAUUUUACUCUAUCAGCUUAGAGUGGGUCAAGAGAAUUUGCAGCUCUCACGUUUUCUCCCAGCUGAUGCUGAUGCUGCCAGUCUGAGUACCACACUUUGAGAACACCUGCCCUAGAGCAAAGUAAUACAUGUUUCACGUGCAUCCUUUCCAACAGCAGGAAUUUUAAGAACUUCCCUUAAACUCCAGCCUGCAAGAACCAGGAGCUGUUUGGAAUAGCCUGCUCCAUGCGUUUUUUUCUUUUUUGAUACAUAGUCCCGCUCUGUUGCCCUGGCUGGAGUGCAGUGGUGUCAUCAUAGCUCACUGCAACCUCCAACUCCUGGACUCAAGAGAUCCUCCUGCCUCAGCCUCUAGUUGCUGGCACUAGAGGUAUGUGAUAACUCCUCAGGCUAAUUUUUCUAUUUUUUGUAAAGACAAGGUCUAGCUCCUUGAUAGAAUUCCUGGCCUCAAGCAAUCCUCCCAACUCAGCCUCCCGUAGUGCUAGGAUGACAAGCCUGAGCCAAGACACCCACAAUCAUCCACACAUCUAAGAACAAGCAUCCCAACAGAAGCAGCUCAGUACAACAGCUCCCAACACAGGCUUGUGAGCCAAACUGCCCAGGUUUGGCUCAGCCACGUACUACCUGUGUGAUCCUGGGCAACUUCACCUUCCCAUUCCCCUGCACCUACAUUUUGAAAAUCCACAGAAAUUGCCCUGCCUGAAGCUGAGCAGACCAUUUGCCUACUUCAUGUUAUUAUUUGUGGUAACCACACCCAUAUCCCUUCCUCCUCCACACCCCUCUCCUUAAGAGAAGGGCUGCCAAACCACAAAGAAAGGUUCCUACAAAGAGUGCGCUACAAUUAAAAGUAGGUUGACUCAUCCUCUUGGGAUCCCUUAGGUUUUCCUAUUAAAAAAAAAGGAAGUAUCAGAAUAUGUGGGAAAGAUGGAAGGGCAGAGGUCAAGAAACAGAAAAUCUACUAAUUAACCAAGUAUGAAUAAAGUCCAGAGAUCCAGGCCCACCUAAUUAGUAGUCCAGGGUAGGAGAUGGAAACUUUUAGAGUGUCACCUCCUUGGGCCUUUUCCUUGCCUGUUACCCUACACAAGAAGGGUAGAGCUGGGGGCCCUCCGAGCUCAGGGGCCCUUCAGUGGUUUUAGGAUGGCAGGACUCCUGGUCAGAACCACCCGCGCCAAGACCCUGGAUUGCUUCUCCGAAGGCUGGAGAUUCCAAAAAGAUGACACAGGUUUCAGAGGCUGCAUCCCCAGUAACGUCCUCAAAGGGGAGGUGAAAAUAUUGCAAACAGAGACCAAAGGCUGAUCCAAGAUAUACUGCAGUCGUGGCCACGCGUCUCCCAGUCAAAAGCAAAACGUGAAGCCACGCGCGGGGGUGAGUGUCUGUAAUGUGACCCCAAAAUCCCAGCUUCAGGGAGGCUGAAGCGGGAGGACCUCUUGAGCCCAGGAGUUGGAGACCAACCUGCGCAACAUCGGGAGACUCAACUAAAAAAAAGGAAGAAAAAAAAAAAAAAAGCAACACGUGGAAGCAGAUCUUGUUCAAGAACAAUGUCCCCAUUCACAAAUCAAAUACUAAAGUGUUUUACGCACAUGGAAUUUACCAUAAGCAGGUAUCAUGACACCCAGGGACACGGACACACACACACACACACACACACACACACGGAUACACAUCUGGACACGGAGACACACACAGCGGGAACCGGGAGGAGUUGGACCGAGUUGCCUCCUAAGGAAUAUCGGAAAAGGUGGGGACACUAUUGGAAGAUGGCACUGGUCCAGCACGCUAAAUUAGGGUUUGGCUCAAAACAGAUAAAGGAAACCGUUCAUCACAAGCUGCUUACUUAAAAAGAAAAAGGUGCCGUGUUGGUUCCGGGGGCUGCGAGUCCCCGAGCGGCAGAUUGGGAAAGGAAGGUUCCAGAAGAGAGAGAGACGACUGCCUUGUGAUGUCUUUCAUCGCGCCCAGUAAACUGUACAGAAUGACAGUGGCGAAGGGAACACGUGUUACAGAAGGCAGCGGUUCUAAUACGCAUUUCUGGGUACUUUCCCUCACUUUGAGCUCUAUCGAUGCCCUAUUCGAGAAGGUUAGACUCAAAGGCAGAACUUGUUCAAGGUCUUAAAGCCAUUAAAUGAUGAAACCUGAUUUGUACUCAAGUUUAUGUCUGAGCAAGGCUUUGGGACUCUCUCCUAAGUCUUCAGCUAUUUGUGUGGCGACCUUCAGCCCAGCAGCUUCUCUUUCCUUCAGCCCUGAAUGAAGAAAAAUCAAGAUUACAAGUUCGUGGUGCUUGCAGCAAGAUCACUUUAUUAUUUCUGUGAUAAUUUCACACACAGGAUCUCACUUGUGUUGUCCAGGCUGGAUUCAAACUCCUGCACUCAAGCGUUUCUAUUGCCUCAGCCUACCGAAAAGCUGGGACAGCAGGCUUGCGCCACCAUGCCUGGCUCAUGUUGGAGAAUUUCUAUCACAAUAGGGAAGACGCUGAUUUUAAUAUUGUAAGAGAACUAUGAUCAUUCAGUUACCUUUCUGUUAGCUCUUUCUUGGAUAAUACAAUCUCUAAACCAAAAUAGCCCUCACCUGAUUUACCAUUGUUCUUUGAAACUCCCUAAAUUUUCUAGCCUGAUAAAUGCUCAGCUGUCGGUUCUGUUUCAAAGCUGAAGAAUCUGUUUGCUAAAGUUAGAAUUCUAGUGACUCCCCUUGUCCGACUAUUCUACACACUCUGUACAACUAUGUGAGAACCAUAACUAGCCAUCUCCAAACUGCCAAAGCACUCAGUCCCUUAGCUUCUGCUAAGUUUUUAACUAAGAAUAAGUAAAAAGGAAAUUACAGCAAAAUAAUGCAAAUAACAAAAUAAACACAAAUAUAUAAAUAUACUCAUUCUCACCUAUCAAAUCAAUAAAGAUUUUUUUAUAAACAGAAUCUCUAAUGCUAAUGAGGGCAAAGUGUAAUAGGUACUAUAAUAUACAAUCAGUAAAGUGUAAAUUAGAAUAACCUUUUCAGAAAACAAUUCUGCAAUAUGUAUUAAGAGCCUUAAAAGUGUUCAUUCCCCUUUGAUUCAAUAAUCUCACCCACAGGAAUUUCACUUAUAGGAUCAUCAAGAAAAAAAAUAACA